UACGGAGGGGGCUAGCGUUAUUCGGAAUUAUUGGGCGUAAAGGGCGUGUAGGCGGCUUCGUAAGUCUUGUGUGAAAGCCCUCGGCUCAACCGAGGAAUUGCACGAGAAACUGCGUGGCUCGAGUCCGGGAGAGGAUAGUGGAAUUCCCAGUGUAGCGGUGAAAUGCGUAGAUAUUGGGAGGAACACCGGUGGCGAAGGCGGCUAUCUGGACCGGUACUGACGCUGAUACGCGAAAGCGUGGGGAGCGAACAGG
rnacentral:rRNA from 1 species